GACGAACGCUGGCGGCGUGCUUAACACAUGCAAGUCGAACGAAGUGGCGAACGGGUGAGUAACGCGUAAUCAACCUGCCCUUCAGAGGGGGACAACAGUUGGAAACGACUGCUAAUACCGCAUACGGAUGGAGGGGAUUGCGUCUGAUUAGCUAGUUGGAGGGGUAACGGCCCACCAAGGCGAUGAUCAGUAGCCGGUCUGGGGGGGUGGACGGCCACAUUGGGACUGGGACACGGCCCAGACUCCUACGGGAAGCAGCAGUGGGGGAUCUUCCGAAAUGGACGAAAGUCUGACGGAACAACGCCGCGUGGGUGAUGACGGCCUUCGGGUUUUAAAGCUCUGUUAAGCGGGACGCGGUACCGAAAUAGAAAGCCACGGCUAACUACGUGCCAGCAGCCGCGGUAAUUC
rnacentral:rRNA from 1 species